AUUGAACGCUGGCGGCAGGCCUAACACAUGCAAGUCGAGCGGAUGAAGGGAGCUUGCUCCUGGAUUCAGCGGCGGACGGGUGAGUAAUGCCUAGGAAUCUGCCUGGUAGUGGGGGAUAACGUCCGGAAACGGGCGCUAAUACCGCAUACGUCCUGAGGGAGAAAGUGGGGGAUCUUCGGACCUCACGCUAUCAGAUGAGCCUAGGUCGGAUUAGCUAGUUGGUGGGGCAAAGGCCUACCAAGGCGACGAUCCGUAACUGGUCUGAGAGGAUGAUCAGUCACACUGGAACUGAGACACGGUCCAGACUCCUACGGGAGGCAGCAGUGGGGAAUAUUGGACAAAGGGCGAAAGCCUGAUCCAGCCAUGCCGCGUGUGUGAAGAAGGUCUUCGGAUUGUAAAGCACUUUAAGUUGGGAGGAAGGGCAGUAAGUUAAUACCUUGCUGUUUUGACGUUACCAACAGAAUAAGCACCGGCUAACUUCGUG
rnacentral:rRNA from 1 species